GAACAAAAAAAUAUCAAAAUUCAAUUUUUUUACAGUUUUUUUUUCAUAAUAAAUCUCCUAGACGCACCCAAACCUUUUUUCUUUCCAUUUUGAAGCAUUUUUGUGUGUCAUUAAAGCUGCAAAAUAUUUUGAAAAUCAGUCAGAAUUUUUUUUUUUUAGAUCUAUAUACGUUUUCUCCAAUGACAAUAAAGUGGGUGGAGUAAUUAUGCCAAUGUGUGAAAAUGAAAAAGAAUUAAUCUAUUGAAGAUUGUAAUACACAAUCGAAAAAUUUGAAAACAAGUAUAGAAGCUUGGAUGGUCAGUUCUCGUUUGGAUAUAUCAUUAGGUCGAAUUUACAUGUGUUGUUUGUGUGACCAAGAAUUCAAGACAAAGCAAAAGCAAAUGUUUCACAUUAAGGAUCAUUUAGGAAUACCUGAAUACCGCUGUGACAGGUGUGGAAAAGGUUUUAGAAGAAAAGUCGCCUUGGAAGACCACAUUAACUACUCUCAUCUCGGACUGAAGCUUCACAGAUGUAAUCAUUGCGGCAUUGAGUAUGGAAUGAGGGACAGUCUAGGCAGUCAUGUUCGCUCAGUCCAUAAAGAAUAUAAAUACAAACUCAUUUAAUAAAAAGAAAGUAUUGAUAUAUAAGUAAUGUUUGCUGCUCUUAAGACAACUGUAUAGGCUAUAUAUCAAUAAACGAAAUUGUUCUUUGUUUCA
rnacentral:lncRNA from 1 species